CACGUGGUGGGCGUGUGAUCGUGUCGUGAGUGAUGAGAGGAGCUGUUUGAUGGAAGAUUUGCAUGUGUUUUCAUAGUUUGUGCAUUGUUUUGACUUCUAAAAUGGCAUAUGGAGAGGGAAAAGCACCAAUGGCACCAAUAGAAGCGAUUUUGAAGUACUUGAAAGAGAUGAGGCAUUGACAUGCGACGCUGUGUUAUGAUUCGGCGAAAAUGACAGCUCGCUUUUCUAGAGGGAGACGAGAGGACCCUGCGCUUGACUGAUGCUGCAUGAGAUCCUGGACCACCGGCACAGAUGGUCCUCACCCUCACAUCUCCAAGACAGGCCAGAGGAAGGUGAUGCUCUCAACACGAGGGACAAAAUAUUAUAGUGAUGCACAGAAUGAUAUAAAUGUGGAGGUUGUAGAUCAUGUUUUACAUUGUUAAAGACCACAUACAUUUUAUUUUAUAUGUUAUAUUGUCUUGUGUCACCUGAAAGGAGAAUAAAACGUAUAAAACGCUAAA